AGUCCUUAUUGCCCUUCAAAUGCACACAAACACACACAAAAAAAAAGUUUUCAAGUAAGGUCCUUGAAAAAGAGGAAGGCAUUAGCUCGAAGUGACAAUUCCCAUUGGAGGCAGAGCAUCAGAAAACAUACGUGGGUGCAGCAGCUUUCCCUAGGGUGGACCUGUGUCCAUGCACACAGCCCAGCCCUUGCCUGCCACCGGACAGAGCAGACCACGGCAUGUAAAGAAGAGCCCGAGGAGCUGGGGUGCCCCCUGAAACUUUCUCCCCGACCUCUGCUGCGGGGUUUGUGUCUGUGUGCCAGGGAGGGGGGAGAGAAGGAGACCUAGUGCAAAGGAGAGCAAGCAAGGAAGCCAGGAGAGAGAAGGGAGCUUGCUUCAUGCACUGCUGAAGACUGUCAGAGGCAGAGCGCACCAGCAGCUCACUGGCUGUGGUGCAAUUUAAGGGACGCCGUUUAUUGACUUUAUUCAUUAAAUUGCUGAAGGACAGAUAUGACAUCUGACUACUGCUUCUAUAUAUUCUUGCUUAUUGGAACAAAGGGUAAGUACACCUGGCUUUUUUCUUUGAACAUUGCACAGAAUAUAGCUAAUAAACUUUAGUAGUAGCUUUUUUAAACUAUAAUA
ensembl:lncRNA